UCUGCUACACAGACCAGGAAAGGGCCGUUGCUCCCCUAUAGUCGUCACACCGUCCCUCAUGCCACAAUCACUGUCUCGCAUUCUCCUGCUCUACCCACACCCCUCUUCCCACCCCCUGGUCUGCCAUGCUGCACUUCGAAGGCAGCAGCUUGCUUCGGCACCACAUCGUGUGUAGCAUUCUCUCAAAGCGCCCGGUGCGCAUCACCAACAUCCACGAUGACGAGGACCCGAUGGGCAUUCAGGCGCACGAAGCAAACUUCCUCAAGUUUAUCGACCGCGUCACGAGCGGCUCCUCCCUGCAGUGCACCGACCACAAUACCACGUUGCAGUUCACGCCCGGCAUGAUCUUGGGCGGGUCCUUUUCGCACGAGGUGCCCUCGCAGCGCUGCGUCACGUACGUUAUCGAGGCGGCGCUGCUGCUGCUUCCUUUUGCAAAGUUCGACUCGCGCAUCACCUUUGUGGGCGCCACCCAAGGCGAGCUGGACCUCUGCGUGGACACAGUGCGCACAGUCACCAUGCGGUGGGUGCAGCUGUUUGGGGUGCAGAGCAGUCUGCGGAUCAUCCGCCGUGGCGCCGCCCCUGGUGGCGGUGGUGCGGUAGAGCUAGACAUCAAGGCCAUCCGACGCCUCACUAGCGCUACGACGAAGGAGCGCGGGCGGGUGCGGCGCAUCCGCGGCAUUGCCUUCGCCUCUCGGACCGCGGCCGACCUGCCGCAGCGAACCGCUACUGCCGCCAAAGGAGAACUGCUUAAGUUGCUGCCCGAUGUGUACGUGGUGACCGAUGUUGACAACAGCAAGGCCAACCGGAACGACCGCGUGAGCGGCUACGGCGUUGUACUGGUCGCCGAAACAACAAGCAAGCUGUGCGUCAUCUCCCAGGAGUCGGUUGCCAUGCCGCAGGAAUCACCCGAGGACGUCGGCAAGCGUGCAGCACAGCUGUUGUUCGACCAGAUUUACGAGGGUGGCUGCGUCGAUGCGCACCAUCAGAUGCUGGUGCUGCUGCUGAUGGCGCUCAGCCCGGACGAGAUCUCGACCGUGCGCUUCGGCCAACUGAGCGCGAGCGGUGUGUCAGCGCUGAUGCUGAUGGACUCGUACUUUGGAGUGUCGUGCGCCGUCAAGCCAGACGCGUCCUUCGCGGGGCCGAAUCUGCCCCCCACAACGCUAGUGACCUGCCUCGGCAGCAAUGCCGUGAAUGUUUGGAAGAAGUCAAGCUGAGAAGGACCGCGGCUGGUUUCACUAGUGUUGUCGUUGAGUAUUUGUGUUUGUGCGUUUGUGUCUGGGUUGUCAGGACAUGGCGCGCCGACGCUGCUCUCCCCUGCGUCUAUGCAUGCUCGCCCUCCCUUCGCUGGCGUCGUUGUCUUUUUCUUCUCUGUGUCCAUUACGAAUAACACCCCACCACCUAAUCCGCCAACUCCCCUGCCCUCUCAACGCACUAUGCGCCGCGCACUUCUUGAGCGAUGUGGCUUGCGCUCAUCUACGUACCAAGUGCGCAAGCGUUGAGGAAGAGGAGGAGGGAGGCGCUGCGCGCGUGGGUUGGCGUCGUGGCGGAGAGCUACGUUUAAGGUCUAAUCAAACUCCUUUAUGCGCGAACAAAAAACAAAAGCGAACAAAACAUGAUCAUCCACGCGGAGACAUCCCCCCCCCUUCGUUCCCAUCUGGCAUAUGUGAGGUUUUGUCGAAUAGCGGAACAGCUUCAGGUGGUUUCGGUGAGGAAGGAAGCAGAGAGACAGAAGGCGUGAGUUACGACCUCUUUUCGUCUAACGGUGGAGUGAGUGAGGGGGUCAGUGAGGGAUGUGGACGGAGGCGGGAGAGGUGACAGUGCAGGCGCCACCGCAGUAGUGGAACGAUCUCCACCUUUCAAGGGCGGCCUUUCGCUCUGACUUUUGUUUCCUUUUUUUCGCGCGUGUGUGUGUAUGUGUGAGCGAGCUGCAUCCCUUAUCUCUCUUCCCCCUCGAUCUCGACUCGGCCUAUGGUAAUGCGUGCACAUGUCAG
rnacentral:misc_RNA from 1 species